AGCGGCAUUUCAUCAGAGGGAAUUAAUCAGAGCAGAUGAAGCAGCGACAACCGAAAAAUAACGACGCGGCAUCUCCCAAAGAGCCCGCCGCCUGUUAUCUCCUCAAUCUCAAUCUUUCAGUGCGUGUCCGGCGUUCUUUCAGAUGCAUCCCAUUUACAGACGUGUGUCCCAGUGUGUGUGAGUGUGUGUAUCUGGCGCUUGGUGGCACAGCAGCGGAAUGUCACCGUGGCAAACACUAAUGCCUACCCCAAGAUACUUAACGACACGAAAGGCACAUGCCUGGGUAACCUGAGACACCGCAAGACAAGUUUCCGGCGAGGCGACGGUCCAUCUUUAUGGACGAUGUGGACGAUGUCCGGUGCGGUGACGUUUAUGAAAAGCCAUCGCAGCAUCAAAGCCAAUUAAGAUACUGUGGGGCACAUACAAGCUCUACAGGAAUACGCGGCUAAUUUCUGCGACAAAGCCGACAAACGAUCCGGACUCUGGGAGUCUGUAAAGGUGGAGGAGAAGCGGCACUUUUGUCGCAAACACAGGCCGUAAAAUUAAGAACUCUGAUUGGUAACAAAUGUUUUUGUUCAUUCGAGUGAUAAAAACGUAGCGAACCGAAAAGAUAUAAAAUUCUCUUUAGUGUCUUCCCAGUGCGGCGAUGAUAAAAUAUUUAAAUGAGCGCCGAAUGGGAAGGUGCUCCACCUCAUACCACUACCAUAUACUCCACUCUACCAGUUCGCUUCACUCCACUCCUUUUUGGACAUUUAGGAAAUCAGAGAGAGCGAGUGGUGGACCCGAAACCUUAAUGGCCGCGUGCACGCACUGGGGCUUAAAUCUGGUAUCUGGAUAUGGCCAACAAGUCAACAAGCCAACAAGCCGAAACAGUGGGCUUAAACACGACCAAGGGCAAAAGUGUGAAACACCGACUGGGCGUAACGCCAAUAGCCAUCGACGAUAACCACUGUGUCUCCGAGUAAGUCGGUCGGCUGUCAUGAUUAAAUAAAAGUCCAAUGCAAACGGGCCAGCUAGGAUAUUAAAUUACAGCCAUAACUGCUUGGGGACUGACGGUGAAGGUGAAACUAAAAAGGAAAAGGCAAAGGUAAAGGCAUUGCCGGCAGGACCUGGACUCAGCUCAGACACACACACACUGCCACAGACCGAACCGAAUCGAAGUGGACCGGACCAAGCCCCAAAAGGAAUCGAAUCAGAAACAGCCACGACAAAAUCAUAAAAGGCAUAAACAGUUGUAAAGACCCAAACCACAAAGGGCGUAGAAUCAAAAUUGAGCACUAAAAUGUUAUCGAGGUCGGCACAGAUUAACUAGCCCUUUUGCUGUUGACUCGACGACAGAAGACAGAGGACGGAAGACAGAGGACAGAAGACAGACGACGUGCAGGUAGUUCAUUCUGAAAUAUCGAGUGUAUCUUAAAGAUACUUGUGCGACAUUGCGAUCAUUACGCUCUGUAACAGAUACCCAAAGGCAGGGGCUUGUUCCUCGGACACGACAGGUUGACCCGACCGGUCCUGUGUAAUCCCUGCCCGGUCGAGGCAAUUAUAACCAUAUACAGAAUCGCAGCUCCAUCCCCCGCUGACAACGACGACCCACAACCGAGCUAUUGUCCCGAAAAAACAGAAAAAAAUUGUCAUUCACAACUGUCUCGCCGAUAAGAAGCAAUUAUCAAAAAGCGGUAAAGGACAGCGAGCUGAGAUCACAUUGAAUGGCGCCAGUUUCACAAUGAAUCUCCGUGGUAACGUUAAGAUUUCGUCAUGGCUGUUUAAGAUCUAGGUUACAUAAAAAUAUUUAUGGGUUAUGUACCUUUUUCUUAGUCUACAGAUCGAGUGUUAUGGGUAUACGAUUUAAAAACAGGUAAAUGUAAUGUGAUCUUAGUACUACCAUAAGUUCCCCUUGUUCAAGGGUUUAAUCCGGAGUGUGGAUUCCUAAUCCCAAAAGUAUGCAAGUUUAUUGUCAUGACCAUUCCUUUGUAAUGUUAAUUAAAUGAAAGAAACGGAAAUAAAAUAGCGUUCGACCUUUUUCAACCCCA